rnacentral:tRNA from 1 species
GGAGAAAUAGCUGGUAGAGGAAUUCACUACUCGCCUUGAAAGCGAGAGACGGCUAACACCGUCCGGGGGUUCAAAUCCCUCCGCCA